rnacentral:lncRNA from 1 species
AAAACAUUGCUGAUCAUUCAUCUCGUACGAGUCUCUUUCUUCUUUCGUUAUCACUCAAUAGGUUUGGUUUUUUAUUUUUAUUUUGUGUCUAUCAUCAUUAUCGAUCAUCGAGAGUAAAACAAUUAAUGAAAAAUAUGUUCGUUUGAUAAAACGGCUUACUCAGAAGCGUUAAGUUUUUUAAACUCAAUUCCAUUAAUUGCAAUGCAUUUUACUGUUAUUUUGUAGAAGUAAAGCAGUUUAAUGAGAGUGAGUUGUUAAAGCUUCAAAAUUGUUCGGAGGAAAACAAUGACCGUACGGAUGCCUUAACGGAAGUUUCGAAGAUCAUACGAGGACUGAUGGAUGGAUGAAUGGAUACAUAUCCGAUGAAAUGCGAGAAGAAAAACUCAUAGUUGCGUUCCAUGAAUUGCCCUAAUUUUCUCUUUCCCGUUUUUCUCCUCAUCUGUCUUUUCUUACUUUUUAUCUCUCUGCUGGUUGGAUAAAAAGCAAAAAGAAUUGAAGAGGAGGUAGAAAUACGUUGAGAUUUAUCGACUGUGCGAGGCUUAUCACGAACGAACAGCGAACAAUGCACAAAUCAUACAAGGAAAAGAAAAAAAAGGAAAAAAAAGAGAUAGAAAGAGAUAGAAAGAGAUAAAGGAAAUGUUCGAUUUGGUCUCCUACCUUGGUAGUCUUAAAAAAACAUUACAACCCUAAAGGUAGUAGGUAGUGUAAAGGAUAAGGAGUAUAGAAAAAAGGGAGCGGUGGUGUCUGCCAACAAUGAGUACUGUCUCUCCUGUCAGGUCGCGUGAUUACAGCCAAGGAUGAGAAGAAAAAGGAAAAGGGCUCUUCUACAAUACUAGCGACGGAUAAAAUGCCAAAGGGUCUACACGUUCUUCGAGUAGACAACAACAACAGUAACAGUAACAGAACAGCAACACCAGCAAUAGUCACGGCAGAAGUAGUAACAGCAAUAGUAGUAACAGCAGCAGUAGUAACAGCAGCAGUAGUAACAGCAGCAGUUAUAGAAGCAAGAAGAGAACUUCGUAGACACGAUUCAAUCUGCAAUAUUAACAACUUGAAGUUCACGCAAAUCGAUCGAAAGUCUCGUUACAUCUCGGAAGAGACAUUUAAUAUUAAUUAGCAGAGGCUCUCUACAACUUGACGCGAACUUUCGAAUAAAACUUUACUGAAAUACAGCUAAAUUUGUUUAACCGAAGGAUUAGACUCUAGAUUUUCAAUAGAAAGUAGCAAGUAAAAUACUAUACUUUAAAAAAAUAUAAUCUAAUCAAAGUAUUUUUCUUCAAAGUACAAUAUUCUUAAUUUAACCAUGCAAAAGAUUAGUUACUUCAACGUUGCUUAUCUAGAUGAUAAAAAUACUGAAUAUAAUAGAAAGAAAAAGAGAGAGAAUCAUGAAAGAAUAUCAUCAGAGUCUCAGGGACCACUCUUACAACUAUCGUCCUCUGGGAUCUCUUCUUCCCUUUACGCUCUUUCGCGUACUUGGAAGGAUAUGCGAAAUUUCCUAGGGCGAUAUGGGUGCAAGGAGAAGAAGGGUGUUAGAGAGAAAGAGAAAGAGAGAUAGAGAACCGAUAUAAGGCGGCAAGAGGGUGAACUCGAGGCACCAAACGUGCGACGGCGUACGUUAUCGCGACCCUCUCUUUCUCUUUCUCUCCAACACACUUACACCGCGAAGGCAUUACUUUUCUCUCCCCGUGUAUAUUUCCAUAGCUGCUACUGCUACUGCUACUGCUACUGCUGGUGGUGAUAGUGAUAGUGGUGGUGGUGGUGGUGCUACUGCUGUUGCUCUACUCCGUUUGUCCGUACCGGAGUAUAUACGUGUACAAGUUGGUUUGCCGCCUCCGUCUCGGCCGGUCGAUAACGUGCGAAUGAGAAAGCUAUUUGCGGAAGAUAUGGGUCGGCUACCCCGAAUGGGAAAGACUGCCGUUGGCUGUUGCUGACUGCUGUUGCUGCUGCUACUGCUACUGCUACUAUUGCUAUUGCUAUACUGAUAUACUCCUACUGGCGCUGGGCUGACUCUUUUUCUCAAACGUUGAUGCAAAGCAAACUACCAGGGUCCAAGAAGAUGAACGCGAGAAACAACGCGUGGGCUUAUUACGCCGUUGAAGAAGCGACCGUCGUGCUAGGUGGCCCUACGACAUUGCAAGCUAGUUUGAUAGGGAGACUGGAUAAGCAGAGAAGGAAACGAGAGAGAAAGCUAAUCGACGAGGACAUUCAUAUGAGAUAAAUUAAACUCUAUCUCGCCUUACGUGUUUCGUUCACUUUUACUCUCACAAAUUUCAUUAUGUUUUACGUAAAAAAAAAAAAAAAAAAACUUUAC